GACGAACGCUGGCGGCGUGCCUAAUACAUGCAAGUCGAACGCAGUGGGGACGGGUGAGUAACACGUGGGUAACCUCCCAUCAGAGGGGAUAGCACUUGGAAACAAGUGCUAAACCUAUACUGAUGGAUGGACGCGCGGUGCAUUAGCUAGUUGGUGAGGUAACGGCUCACCAAGGCCACGAUGCAUAGCCGAGCUGAGAGCGUGAUCGGCCACACUGGGACUGAGACACGGCCCAAACUCCUACGGGAGGCAGCAGUAGGGAAUCUUCCGCAAUGGACGAAAGUCUGACCGAGCAACGCCGCGUGAGUGAAGAAGGUUUUCGGAUCGUAAAACUCUGUUGUUAGAGAAGCGGUAACUAACCAGAAAGUCACGGCUAACUACGUGCCAGCAGCCGCGGUAAUAC
rnacentral:rRNA from 1 species